GCCACGAUAUCAGGAAUUGCUCUGGCCUACACUAGUGCGCCUACGAUUCGUUGGUGUACGUGCCGCUUCCGUGCGCUCAGAAAACCACCGUCGCCGUUUCUCUGUGUUCGCCAGCUUUGAAAUUUCCGUGUCUAGACUUUUUAGCUGGCUGGAAAAUCUGUUACAGGAAAAUGUAAACUUUUUAUCGAUGAAACAUCCAUUACUUUUUAUCAUAUUGGAACAUGCAUCAGAAACAGCAGUUUUCGUGGGAAACGAUUUUUAACAAGGGGUGUUCUGAUAUUUAUAAACGAGAUUGUACAAUCUCCUAUAAAAAUGCCAAUUUUUCUGACCGAUGUCGACGAUGUAUUUGCAAGAGAAAGAAAGAUAUUGGCUGGUCGACGGCGAAGACGGACGAUUGAUUCGGUAAAGGCGCGAAAACGAAA
rnacentral:misc_RNA from 1 species